rnacentral:rRNA from 1 species
ACGAGGUCUGAGUUCUUGGUGACGGCGGCGUCGGUGCCGGAGACGAUGCGCACGCGCGGGAGGAAAGCGGCGGCGUGCUGCAGGUCGAGCGCCUCGCCGCGGAGCUUGUCGGGGAGGGCGUCGACGAGCGCGAUCUCGUCCGCCAGGUUCUGGGUGAGGAUGGUCUGUGCGAUGGCCAUGCCCACGUUGCCGGCGCCGAUCACGGAGACCUUGGUGAGGCGGCGGUGCGGGGCGGAGGAGGAGGUGGGCGUCAGCGGGCAGCCGUCGGCCACCGCGCGGAAGAAGCCCGACGAAGCAUCGCCGGCGUCGAAGCCCAGCUCCGACAGCGACGAGGUCUUGUGCAUCAUCGGUGGGAAUGGGAGGGGAUUAAUGCAGUAG